GGUAGUAGCUCAGUUGGUAGAGCAUCAGCUUCCCAAGCUGAGGGUCACGAGUUCGAGUCUCGCUUACC
rnacentral:tRNA from 4 species